UACGUAGGGUGCGAGCGUUGUCCGGAAUUAUUGGGCGUAAAGAGCUCGUAGGUGGUUCGGUAAGUCGGAUGUGAAAUCUCCAGGCUCAACCUGGAGGGGUCAUUCGAUACUGCCGUGACUAGAGUUCGGUAGGGGAGUGUGGAAUUCCUGGUGGAGCGGUGAAAUGCGCAGAUAUCAGGAGGAACACCAAUUGCGAAGGCAGCUCGCUGGGACGUGACUGACGCUGAGACGCGAAAGCGUGGGUAGCAAACAGG
rnacentral:rRNA from 1 species